UACGAAGGGUGCAAACGUUGCUCGGAAUUAUUGGGCGUAAAGCGCACGUAGGCGGCAUCGCAAGUCCCAUGUGAAAGCCCACGGCUUAACCGUGGAAGUGCAUGGGAAACUGCAGUGCUUGAGUACUUAAGAGGAUCGCGGAAUUCCCGGUGUAGAGGUGAAAUUCGUAGAUAUUCGGAAGAACACCAGUGGCGAAGGCGACUUACUGGACACAUAUUGACGCUGAGGUGCGAAAGCGUGGGGAGCAAACAGG
rnacentral:rRNA from 1 species